rnacentral:rRNA from 1 species
AACGUAGGUGGCGAGCGUUAUCCGGAUUUACUGGGCGUAAAGCGCGCGUAGGCGGCUUUGUAAGUUAGAGGUGAAAGCCCGGGGCUCAACUCCGGAACUGCCUUUAAGACUGCAUCGCUUGAAUCCGGGAGAGGUGAGUGGAAUUCCGAGUGUAGAGGUGAAAUUCGUAGAUAUUCGGAAGAACACCAGUGGCGAAGGCGGCUCACUGGACCGGUAUUGACGCUGAGGUGCGAAAGCGUGGGGAGCAAACAGG